ACCUCGUGGUUUGGACAUUUUGCUAAUUUUCCAUUGAAUCUCUCCCAUGCUUCAAACAAUGACUCCCGGUCCAGUUGCCUAAAAUUUAUGAUCUCAUCUCGAAUUU
rfam:Capsicum annuum cultivar Zunla-1 chromosome 4, whole genome shotgun sequence